rnacentral:pre_miRNA from 14 species
AUACGCACACACACAUACAUAUGUGUGUAAAUACAUAUAUACACACAUAUGUCUGUAUAUGUGUGUGUACU